UUCAGUCCCAGAGACCUUACCCAGUUCCAGGGGCAGGGGACAGGGGCAGGGGGCCCAGGGUGGAGAGCGAGGCUCCCACGAUCUUUCUGUCCAGCAAGGAGCAGAGAGCAAGAAACCCUGAGGGACUGAGACAAGGAAACCUGGAGGCAAGGCUCAGGUGGGGCUGGCCCCUGCAUCCAGGGUCAAAUCAAGGGGCUUCCAGACAGGAGGGAUCCACUGGCUCAGGGCCCAGACCCUGUCCAUGCCCAUCCCUGUCGCCGGAGGGAGGGGCCCUGGCCUCGCCCAGGGCAGCCCUGUCCCAGCUGCAGUGCAGGCCGCUGGGCUCUGCAGAACAGUCCUUCCUGCAGCUGGAGCACAAGAACCACAGUCUGGUGAGCACCCCACCCACCGCCUGGCACUCCUGCCCCAGCCCCAGCCCCAGGAACGGCCAUGACAGGCAGUCCCCUCUCUCUGCCACCCACCGCCUGGUGCUCCUGCCCCAGCCCCAGCCCCAGGAACGGCCAUGACAGGCAGUCCCCUCUCUUUGCCCCCCACCCCCAGAAGAGGCAGAACCAGGACCUUCGGGAGCAGCUAGGGGCCCUCCUGGGGCCGGGGCAGCAGUUCCUGCUCGUGUCCCAAACACUCAAGCUGUACUCCCCUGGCCUGGUACAGAGCCCAGGGACCCCAUGCAGCCAAUGCUGAUCUGGGGGCUCUCCCACAGCCCCCUGACCCAGCUAACAUGCAGCCCUUGGGAAACAGGGCACCUCUGCAGCUGCUGUGGCAGGAGCUGUGUCAGCGGCAAAAGGCUUUCAUGCAGCAGUCCCAGGUGGGCCUGGGGGAGGGGUUGUGGGGGGGGGGACCUUCAUGCAACACUCCAGGAGGGCCUGGGGGGGUUCAGUGGGGAGGGAAGAACCUUCGUGCAGCAGGCCGGUGGGCCUGGGAGAGGGGCUAUGCGGGGAGGAACCUUCGUGCAGCAGGCCGGUGGGCCCAGCAGGGAGGUACUGGCCACCCUGCUGAUGCUGCCCAAGCCCACCCUGGGCCCCACCCUCAGAACGAGCUACAGCAGAUCCGCCUGUGCUUUGAGAAGAUGGUCAUCACAGAGCAUGGCUGAGAUGCACAUGGCCCUGAACAACCAGACACCAGGCUCCUGGUAGGUCCCCACGGAGCAGCACCCAGAAGGAUGGGGCCGGGCAGGUGAGAGGCCAGGUAGGGCGGGGCCGGGGCCUGCUGUGCUUACCUCCUCUGGCCCCCAACACCUCAAGAAGGACAUCCGGGGCGUGCUGGACCAGAAGAACAUCUAGCUGGGGAUUCUCAGGUAACAUGGGGGCAGGGACUGGGUCGGCUGAACAGGGUCUCGGAAGGGGUCCUGGUCAGGACAGGGCAGAUCCAUCCUUGACCCCCACCUCCAUAGCGCUGAGCCAGGGGGUGGGUGCCAGGCUGGGGGUGGAGCGCGUGGGGUCCUGACAGGCCUCUGCAGGGAGCGGGCCCAGUGCCGCACUCAGGCCGGGGAGGAGCCGCAGAUGGCAAACAUGGCAGUGAGCCCCCCAUGCCCCACUCUGGGUCUGGAGACCAGCCCCCCACCCAGGGCCCUGCUUGGGCGAGGGGGAGAAAUGGGCUCCAGCAGAGCAGGUCCAGGGCAGGGGGCAUCUGAAAAGUGGCCGCAGGAACCUGUCCAGGAGGAAGGGGCCAGGGCUGUGGUGGGGGGAGCCCUGUCUGAGGAGGGUUUCCCAAAGUCAGGGAUCCCCACCCUCAGCCUGGACCAUCGGGGUGGGCUCCCCUCCCCAACAGAAAGGGAGGCCAAAGCUGGAAAGCUCCCAGGGCCUGGCAGGCCAGCUCUGGUAGGUUACCGCGUGGCAGAGCCCAGCCCCCAGGCCCCCUGCGCACCCCUGCCCCUGACUGCCACCACCCAUAGGCUGCUGACCCUGAGGCUGCUGCUGGGUGCCCUGCUGGGUGCCUACGUGUACAUGGUGAACCCCAGGCCCUUCGAGGGACUGGUGCCACCCCUGCUGAGCCAUGCCACCAUCUGGAAGUCCCUGCUGGACCCCUUCUUGCACCCUGAGGUGGAUGGCCUCCUGUCCUAGGCUGGAGGCCCAGCGGUUCCAGCGAGGAGGCGGCCAGGCGACCAGCACUGCCCCAGACGCCCAGUGGCCAUGUCGGGACCACUGUGCACCAUCCCUGCCAGGAGGUGCAGAGAAGGGUGGAGGCGGGGUCUGUCCUGAGGGCUGGGCCUGUGGCUGGACACAGAGUCAUGACAUACAUGGCCGAACUGAUGCAGACCCAAGGCAAGAGACCCUCACACUUCCCAGCCGCAGACCAUCGGCCACGCUCUCUUCCCAAGCCUCUGACUCAGCCCAAGUCCACAGAAAUGCCCCGGAGGAACCCACCUGCCCCUGCACACCAGACAGCAACCAACCCCUCUUCCGGGGCCUGGCCUCUGCCCUCCCCUAACUCUGGGGGUCCUGCAGCAACA